rnacentral:lncRNA from 1 species
GCAGGCCGCGCGUCCUGCCCGAGCCCCCGCUGCACGCGCCAUCCCCACAGCGCCCGCGCCGCGCGCGAGAGCCGCACGGGCAGCGCAGCAGCGCCCUUCGCCGCGAGCGCCGCCAUCUUGCUCGCGCCCCGCCCCGUCCCGCCCCGCCCCGCCCCGCCGCCGACGCGGGCGCCGCAUCGCUCCUGAGGCACGCCGGGAAAUGGAGUGCGCGGUCUUUCCGAGCGCCGCUUCCCGUGCCGAGAAUCUGCCUCGGUCAGAAAGCCGCUCCCAGUGCGUUCGUGUGAGCGCUGCUCGUGGAGCGGGGAGCCAGAACUGAGGUGGAGGUGCGAGUUGGCGUUCCUGUCGGAGCCGGGGCGUCGGGCGGGAAUGGCUCGGAGCAGGGCUGCGGGCGGCAGGUGUCCGCUCGGCUGCGACGCGGAGCGGCAGAGCGCGGAGCUGAGCGCGCGUUGUGCGUUCCCGCCCAGUCAGCCAGGAGGCGGCGGGCGGCGCCUGGCAGAAGGAGUAAUGUGGGGUGAUCUACCCAAAAUGAAGAGCGUCCCGUGACUCUCUCUGAUAAUCCGGCGUUUAUGGGAUGACAGAUUUUCCGUGCGACCCGUAAAUUGGAACAAGUCCAAAGGACGCCACGGGUGCUGUUGCCUGAGGAGCGGCACUGCGCGGUGCAUCCUUCUCAGGUUAUUGAGCUGAAUGAAGUCACAGAGGGGUCUAAUGAAUGCCAGAGCCUCUGAGGAGAAAAGAAUGGAAGCUGAAUCUUCUCAUUUCAUUAGCAGCAAGUCUCCAGAUGGUGUCAUGGUGUUUCAGUUUUCAACGUUGCUCCCUGUGUGGCCGCAGAACAGCAGGUGGCAGUGUGGGGCUUUGGGUCAAGCAUAAGAAUGAGCAGCAAAUGCAUGAAAGAAUCUACGUCUUUGAAAAAUAUUUGUAAAAUUUUUGUCCUUUUAUUAUGAAAAUAAUUAAAAAGUGUAAAUGUUCGAUGUUUACACUCUGAAAGAAUUUCAUACUUUCUUUUUCCUGCAUAGUGAUUAAAUGGAG